CCUCAGCUAAGAACCAAACCUUGGAGGCUCUAACAAAUGCCUAUUUAUGGAUUUUCUCCUUCAGUGCUCCUCUAGGGCCUCCUUGGGUUCCUGUCCUCCUGGUCAGCCUGUCCCCUGAGAAUCUGAAGAGAAGUGAGACAGCUCCUGAAGUUACAGCCAGCCAGCAGAGGCCAAGGCUCCAACACUGAUGGGCCUGAAUCCUGCCCCUUUGCUGGCCUGAGAAAAUCUCAGAUCAAGAGCUCAUAUCCCUGAUAUGGAACAGAAGGGCAUGAGGGGACCCACAUCUGGCCACACCUGCUCAAGGCUUCACAGCAAGGACAGUAAGAGGUGGCCAUAUUCAGAGCCUGGGUCCACUUCCCUCUGCCGAUCUCAAGCCGCCCCUCAGACCGAG
rnacentral:lncRNA from 1 species